AUUUGGAAUGUGAGUUAUUUUAUGUCUUAACUUGGAGGAUUACUUACCUAAAAAAUUUUCCCAAAAUUGAGAGCUUCAUAUUGUGCUGAUAAGGUAGGAUAUUAGUCUUAAUAUAUGGACAUUAAUUUAUUAUGUAAUAAUGAGCUUGCCAAAAGACUGAUCUUCUAAAUUAUUAGUAGAUUACAGUCAAACCUCAUUAUAUCAGUCAUUCACUAUAACAUCAUUUCAUUAUAUAUAAAGACCUGAUUUUCUUCGAAAUCGAUCUUUCAUGUUAUAUUUUACUUCUCUAUAACUGUUGACAUGGAUACUGGGCCGCCUAUCACAGGCCCACCAGAUUAAAAUUGGAUCAUUUUAUCUCUUGUAUAUUUGAGUAUUUGUAAUAAAAGGAUCUUUAGACAAAACCUUCUACAGACAAGAAAGAAAUAAAAAUAUCUUUUUCACUUUAUCUCUUUCUCUCUCUUCUCUCUUUCAUUCUCUUUUACAUUAUAGUCUGGAAUGGUACAAAUCCAUGGAGGUUUCUUCAUUCUCCUCUUAAAAGUAUUGGGGUGACUGUGUUUUGACUGUCACCUACCUUAUUAAUAGAUUACCCCCCCCCCCCCCUUCUUACACAACAUUUCUCCACUUGAGAAGCUUUCUGGUACCCCUCCUUCCUACACCCACUUGAAAUCUUUUGGAUGUCUUUGUUUUGCUGCAUCUCCCAAACAUAGUAGAGAUAAACUUCAAUCUAGAUCCAUUUCAGCUGUUUUUUUGGGUACCCUUCUGGCAAGAAGGCUUACAAGCUCCUAGAUCUCAAUUCUCAUACUAUCUUCUAUUCUAAGGAUGUUGUGUUCCAUGAACACAUUUUUUCUUUUCAAUCAUCUGAUUUUUCCAGUCCACCACCAGUUCGUCCUCCACACUUCAUUGACAUUCUUGAUUCUCCAUUCCCUAACCCCAUUCCUGCUUCCCCUACAGCUCCUAUUGCCCCUCUAGCCCCAGCACCUGUUUAUGGACCACCUACUUCAAGUUCCACCAAAAAAUCCACUCGAGUUACCCACAAAUCUUCUUAUCUUUCUGAUUAUAUUUGCUGCUCAGUCUUACCCGCCCCUGAAUUUAUUGUUUCUGAGAUUUCCCAUACUGAGGCUCAUAUUCAUGAGCCCCUAUUUUAUCAUCAAGCUGUUUUACAUCCUGUUUGGCAAGAGGCUAUACUACAAGAGUUUCAAGUUCUCAAGGCCAAUAAUACUUGGGACAGUGUUCCCUUGCCACCCCACAAGAAAGUUAUCCCAUGUAAAUGGGUUUAUAAAAUCAAAUAAAGAUCUGAUGGCUCCAUUGAGCGUUACAAAGCCAGACUUGUCAUACAAGGGGAUACUCAAAAGAAAGACCAGUUGGCUGACAUUAUGACCAAAUCUCUCUCCGAGCCUGUUCACCAUCAUCUACUUUCCAAGCUGCCCGUGUACUCCCCUUCCAGCUUGAGGAGGGGGUGUUGACAUGGACACUGGGCCGCCUAUCACAGGCCCACCAGAUUAAGAUUGGAUCAUUUUAUCUCUUGUAUAUUUGAGUAUUUGUAAUAAAAGGAAGGACCCUUAGACAGAACCUUCUAUAAAAUAGAGAUAAAUAAAAAUAUCUUUUCACUUUA